CGAUUCACGUUUUUUCGUCGAGUAACGUGUUUUGUGGCCGUGCGGGGCACUUUCAUCGCUCGAUGAACAGUGCUACACGUUCUCACAUGUUUCUUCAACGAAGCGGCAGGCGGAAACGGAUGAGUUCAGUCGAAGGAAGCUCACAAAGACGACAAAUCGCGACGGAGCGAUCGCUGAGUGAGAGAGGGGCGCGGUGAAUGCGAUUCUUUCCGUCUUUGCCGUUUAAAUGAAUUGUUUUCGGCCGAAUCGCCCAAUAUUUGGCCAUGAACGUGUGUGCAGAAGGUGUCCGACGAACCGAGUGUCGCAACAAGGAGGUGGAAAAUGGAAAACCGCAUCUCACAAUCAGGAUACAUCAUGUCUGACAGGCCAGGGCUCCCCCCGAGAGGUGAUCUCGAAAGAGACGGACACAGAGCCCCUGGAACAUCCCCCUUUGAGAGCUGGGUGUCCACACUCCCAGCGCCCUCACUGCCCUCGGCAGGCCAUUUUCCAGGUGGUCCAGGUCCUGGUUUUCCAUAUCAGCCGACGCCAACAACCUGGUCCUCGGGCAGUUGCGAGGAGGCGGCCCUGCUCCACCUUCGAACACGCUGAUCGAUUCGCUACACAGAAUCAUGUAGUUGGAAAAGCCUGCCAUCAAGCACACCAUAUUAAGCCCAUGUUUUGCUGUUUGCAUUGAGGGGAUGUAAGCAGUUCUUUGUGCAACAUGCCGCCAGGAAGAAGAAUGUGCCGACCACACUUGAGCACGGAGAGUGUUCCGUUCUCCGACCAAAAUACAUUCGUCCGCAAUUUCUCGCUGCUAUCACAAAACGGCUGGCGCUCCAACAGCCACUUCCACAAAGUCACUUGGAUGGACGGACACAAGAAAUGGUUUAUCGGCUAACCGGACACCAAGAAGAAUACCGAUUUUUCUGGUGAAGUGCUAGUGGGGGCCAGCUAGAAAUCAACCUGUCAAGCCAGGGAAUGAAAUUUCCAUUAUAUUAUUGUGAUCAUUUUUUUUUUUU